rnacentral:rRNA from 1 species
AUACGUAGGGGGCGAGCGUUGUCCGGAAUGAUUGGGCGUAAAGGGCGCGUAGGCGGCGCGGUAAGUCUGGAGUGAAAGUCCUGCUUUCAAGGUGGGAAUUGCUUUGGAUACUGCCGCGCUUGAGUGCAGGAGAGGUGAUCGGAAUUCCCGGUGUAGAGGUGAAAUGCGUAGAGAUCGGGAGGAACACCAGUGGCGAAGGCGGGUAACUGGACUGCAACUGACGCUGAGGCGCGAAAGUGUGGGGAGCAAACAGGAUUAGAUACCCUGGUAGUCCACACUGUAAACGAUGAAUGCUAGGUGUAAGAGGUAUCGACCCCUUUUGUGCCGGAGUCAACACAAUAAGCAUUCCGCCUGGGGAGUACGGCCGCAAGGUUGAAACUCAAAGGAAUUGACGGGG